rnacentral:rRNA from 1 species
GCNCCNANCGCUGUGGGNCACUCUCUCUANAAACAUGNCAAGUCGAACGAUGAAGCCCUUCGGGGUGGAUUAGUGGCGAACGGGUGAGUAACACGUGGGCAAUCUGCCCUUCACUCUGGGACAAGCCCUGGAAACGGGGUCUAAUACCGGAUAANACUCCUGCCUGCAUGGGCGGGGGUUGAAAGCUCCGGCGGUGAAGGAUGAGCCCGCGGCCUAUCAGCUUGUUGGUGGGGUAAUGGCCCACCAAGGCGACGACGGGUAGCCGGCCUGAGAGGGCGACCGGCCACACUGGGACUGAGACACGGCCCAGACUCCUACGGGAGGCAGCAGUGGGGAAUAUUGCACAAUGGGCGAAAGCCUGAUGCAGCGACGCCGCGUGAGGGAUGACGGCCUUCGGGUUGUAAACCUCUUUCAGCAGGGAAGAAGCGAAAGUGACGGUACCUGCAGAAGAAGCGCCGGCUAACUACGUGCCAGCAGCCGCGGUAAUACGUAGGGCGCAAGCGUUGUCCGGAAUUAUUGGGCGUAAAGAGCUCGUAGGCGGCUUGUCACGUCGGAUGUGAAAGCCCGAGGCUUAACCUCGGGUCUGCAUUCGAUACGGGCUAGCUAGAGUGUGGUAGGGGAGAUCGGAAUUCCUGGUGUAGCGGUGAAAUGCGCNNUUUCAGGAGGAACACCGGUGGCGAAGGCNGGAUCUNUNGGGCCAUUACUGACGCUGAGGAGCGAAAGCGUGGGGAACGAACAGGAUUAGAUACCCUGGUAGUNCACGCCGUAAACGUUGGAACUANGUGUUGNCGACAUUCCNCGUCGUUCGGNGCCGCACNNACCCAUAANUUNCCCCCUGGGANUUCNGNCNNANGNNNAAAUNAAAGAAUUGACGGGGCCCCCNAACGGCGAANUNUGGGUUAAUNAACCNCCCNAAA